rnacentral:misc_RNA from 1 species
AUAGUGCCCAUUGAUGCAAAUCAUUGGGUUAGAUCUGCCCUUAUCGCAAGAUGAGGGCUUCCAUAUACACCGUGAACUGUGGCUUCGGCCAUCACAAACUGUUAGUAAUGAAUGUAAUAUCAUAACAAAAACAAAACUUUUAACAACGGAUCUCUUGGCUCUCGCAUCGAUGAAGAACGCAGCGAAAUGCGAUAAGUAAUGUGAAUUGCAGAAUUCAGUGAAUCAUCGAAUCUUUGAACGCACCUUGCGCCCUUUGGUAUUCCGAAGGGCAUGCCUGUUUGAGUGUCAUGAAACCUCACCCCACUUAGGUUUUUGCCUAAGCGGUGGUGUAUUGGGUGUUUGCCUUGCUAAAGGCUCGCCUUAAAGAUAUAAGCACCUUGGAUGUAAUACGUUUCAUCCUUCUGGGUGGCUGAUAACCCCACAUAUUCAUG